rnacentral:rRNA from 1 species
GUGAGGAAUAUUGGUCAAUGGGCGAGAGCCUGAACCAGCCAAGUCGCGUGAAGGAAGAAGGAUCUAUGGUUCGUAAACUUCUUUUGCAGGGGAAUAAAGUGCAGGACGUGUCCUGUUUUGUAUGUACCCUGAGAAUAAGGAUCGGCUAACUCCGUGCCAGCAGCCGCGGUAAUACGGAGGAUCCGAGCGUUAUCCGGAUUUAUUGGGUUUAAAGGGUGCGUAGGUGGUUUGAUAAGUCAGCGGUGAAAGUUUGCAGCUUAACUGUAAAAUUGCCGUUGAAACUGUCGAUCUUGAGUGCAAAUGAGGUAAGCGGAAUGUGUUGUGUAGCGGUGAAAUGCUUAGAUAUAACACAGAACACCGAUUGCGAAGGCAGCUUACUGGGAUGCAACUGACGCUCAUGCACGAAAGCGUGGGGAUCAAACAGGAUUAGAUACCCGUGUAGUCC